rnacentral:rRNA from 1 species
UGAGGAAUAUUGGACAAUGGUCGAAAGACUGAUCCAGCCAUGCCGCGUGCAGGAUGACUGCCCUAUGGGUUGUAAACUGCUUUUAUACGGGAAGAAAAACACCUACGUGUAGGUGACUGACGGUACCGUAAGAAUAAGGACCGGCUAACUCCGUGCCAGCAGCCGCGGUAAUACGGAGGGUCCAAGCGUUAUCCGGAAUCAUUGGGUUUAAAGGGUCCGUAGGCGGGCUAUUAAGUCAGAGGUGAAAGUUUGCAGCUCAACUGUAAAAUUGCCUUUGAUACUGAUAGUCUUGAAUUGUAGUGAAGUGGUUAGAAUAUGUGGUGUAGCGGUGAAAUGCAUAGAUAUCACAUAGAAUACCGAUUGCGAAGGCAGAUCACUAACUAUACAUUGACGCUGAGGGACGAAAGCGUGGGGAGCGAACGGG